CUCAUUAAAACCAAGCCCCCACAAUGCCGCUCAGAAAAUGGUCCCAACCCGGAAGUAAGAAAAAUUGCAGUUCCACCCUCAUCCGCUGGGGGCUGGUACCAGAAGCGAGCAAAUCCUCAUUGACUCCCAUGUUAAAAAUGCCAUUUUCACAGCAGAAAUAAACAUGUUUACAGCCUGGUUCAAAAAAUGGUUUUUUGUCUAAAUUAUCUAGUUUAUACUCAUGACAACUCUGAGGGGGGUGAAUUUUUUUCUCACUCUUCUGUUUAAGUGUAUUGAAAGCCUAAAAUUCUGUAUAAUUAAUGAGCAUCCGACACACGUGACCGCCGCCUCAGACCCACGUGACCACAGAGCUAGCUCCGUGGAAAGGCCUCAGUACAGCCUCGGUCUCUCCUGGAAACUGUGUCGGGAUUUUGAGUCUCUGUGCUUGUGAAUUCUGUUUUGGAUAAUAUUGGUGCAAUUGUUGGACAAAAUGACUUGCUGUGGUAUUAAUUGCACUAAUAGAGCGUCCAAGGAGUCUCCACUUCAUUUUUUUCGGGAAGGACCUGAUUGGUGUCCAGAACCUGCUGAAGAAGCACCAGGCUCUGCAGGCUGAGAUCACAGGUCAUGAACCUCGCAUCAAGGCUGUCACCCAGAAAGGAGAGACCAUAAUGGAGGAAGGUCACUUCGCUGGUUCAGAACCCUCGGCCCGUCAGAACAUUCUUAUCCACCACGUUCUAACACCAGACCUGUUAACCCAACAGCAACAAGUGGCUCCAACUGACGAUGAGACCGGGAAGGAGCUGGUUCUGGCUCUGUACGACUACCAGGAGAAGAGUCCUGGAGAGGUCACCAUGAAGAAGGGCGACAUCCUCACGCUGCUCAACAGCACCAACAAGGUUGUUUUACUUGAACUCGCGUCUUUAGCUGAAUGAGGAUGGAGAGACGGGUCGGACCUGGAGCAGGUCGAGGUCUUGCAGAAGAAGUUUGACGACUUCCAGAAGGACCUGAAGGCCAACGAGUCCCGCCUGAGGGACAUCAACAAGGUGGCAUCUGAACUGGAGUCAGAAGGUCUGAUGGCUGAGGAGGCUCCUAUGGUUCAGGCUCAGCAACAAGAACAUCUGGGUUCUGCUCCUGGAAAGGUGCGUGUUGUCCUCCGCCUCCACCAGAACCAGACGUGGUGUUUUUGUUACCACUCAUUUGUUUGUUUACAGGAUGAAGCCGUCUCUAACCCCGGCUUUCCACAGGAGUCGUCAGCAGCACGUUACUGCAGCAGCACGUCAUAGCUGCUGAUAGGAACCGCUGUGGUCAACAGAACCUUUUCCACCGGAGCCGUCAGCAGCGCGAGUCGGCCGCGUCUCAGGAGCAGCAUGUCGCGGCCCUUACGCGCCGGUUCUAUUUUCUACGCGCGACGCCUCUGAAACGGGUCAAGUUCGACAUUUUUGGGGAAGGAAAGACAGGAAAUCGGACGCGGAAAUUGAGAGAAGCUACCGAGAUUUUCAGAAUAAAGAACGUACUGCCUUCCGGUUGCUUUACUUUUAAAAAAGGUUACUAACUGAGCGGCCCCGUGAGAAGUUAUCACCUAGCUAGCGGUCUCCUUUGUUUUUCAGGUCCGUAUUGGCGAUUAUAAAACGGACAGAACAUAAAACACAAACCAUGUUGUAAGUUUCUCCUGCUUGUUGUUGUGUUUACUGACGAAGUCACUCGAGUGACUUCGUGCUCGGUCGGUGACAGCUGCUCCCCUGCUGCUUCGCGUCUCGUGGGAAGGGCCAAGCAGCAGCUUACGCGAGCAAGACGUGCUGCUGCAGUAUUGUGCUGCUGACGGCUCCCGUGGAAACCCGGGGUAAGACGGCGUCACCCUAGAAGGUGAGUUCAUUCAGCUGAUCAGAGGUCACCUCUGAUGGCCGCAGUCACGGCCGACCGUGCUGAAAUCACACAGGAAUUCAGGUGACCCGGCAGGCACCAGGUGCUGGUGAAAGUGGGGACAUGUCAGCUGGUUGCCAUGGCUACAGUUAUCUUUAUGCAUCUGUAUGACUGCUGACUGGUGUGUGUUUCCUGUGACCUUUGACCUCAGACCGUACGGUUGGGCGUUCAGACGACGGCUAACUUUAAUUCCAUCAAGGAGCUGAACAACCGCUGGCGCUCGCUGCAACAUGCUGGGCAGCGCCCAUGAGGUGUAGCGCUUCCACAGAGACGCUGAUGAGACCAAAGAGUGGAUCGAGGAGAAGAACCAGGCCCUGAACACAGACAACUACGGCCACCACCUGGCCAGCGUUCAGGCUCUGCAGCGUGAACAUGAAGGCUUUGAGCGUGACCUGGCAGCUCUGGGUGAUAAGGUCCGCUUUCCUGAUCGGUACCAGGACCCGAGUUGUCUCUGGAGACACGUUCUUCAUGGUUCUGGUGACUCCACCCCAGCCGUUCCUGAUCAGCGAUCAGCGGGGUGCUUUCUUAUUUAAGGUGGAUGGAGGACAAAAUUUGACGCCAGAAGAUUGCCUCAGUUUUGGAUUCCUGUCGACCUCAUUGGAUACUGACCUCUACUCCAGGAUUUGGAUAUUCAACACACGGACCUUAUCACCACCCUCCAUAACCCACCUCUCAUCUCACCCGUUGCCCCAUCCACCAGGACGCCCCGCUUCUCUCCACCUCUGCUCCCUCUCCUGCGCUUCCCCGGCUCUCUACCUCUCCCUCCUCCAGCCAACCCAUACACCCACCACAGUAAGUCUGCUGAACACCUCUGCCUGCCUACAAUGGAUUUUGAAACCAGAACCUAAGCUCACCUGUGUUCUCCCUCCUCCAGAUGCUGAGCUGUUGUUGCAGUUCCAACCACAGACUUAUCUGUGCACCUUAAGUUCCUCCUUAUAAAUAAAUCAUUUUUUCCAUCAGUUUUUGGUCAGUGUUGUAUUCUGCAUGUCUUGGGUUAAGUACCUUCCUCCAAACAUGACACUCCUCUUCAAAGAGCAAAUCUGUUCAGCACAUUCUGACAGACCGACCACCAUUCUUCUGUCAUGAUGCUGUACAGGACAUUUUUAGAGUUUUUCUUUUUAAAGAUAAAUAGGAUUACAUUUAAAUAGCAAUACUUUCACAUUAUCAUUUUCCCACACUUCUGUAUAACUGUAUUUUGUUGUUUUUCAAUAAAGAAUGACAAACUAUUUAAGUUUGGAUUUGUUGCACACAAAUAUAUAUCUGUAAAAAAUAUCUACAAAGCUAAUGUAUACAUAACAAGUAUGAUUGGGUUUUGCAAUACGGCACUAUUUUAGUAAGAGUUUUAAACCAAGUAAAGUUAGUAAAGAACACAUUUCUAUUGUCUGCUAAGAAACUGUUGGGAUUUAAAAUGGGCCUGUUGUACAAAUAACUUGUAAAUGAUUAUUCCUCACUUUUGUCUUAACCAAAGAAAUUCCAGUAAUUGAGCAAAAACAUUUAUUUUUAACACUACAUUUUAUAAAACAGGGCGCAAAGUGUCGGCACAUGUAUGUAUGUCGAUGGUCCACCCCAACCGAACCAGGAGACACAGACGUCAGGGAGGCCAAGGUUGUCUCUGCAGCUCUCUGGGCACCACGCCUCACUCAGCUGUCUCCAAUGAUCCAAAUGGCUAUGGAGAAAAAAUAACAGGUCCUGCUACUUAUACUCCGGAGCGACUUAUAUAACAAAAUAUGUAGGCUACACCACGCUGCUG